AUUGAACGCUGGCGGCAUGCCUUACACAUGCAAGUCGAACGGCAGCGGGGGAGAAGCUUGCUUUUCCUGCCGGCGAGUGGCGAACGGGUGAGUAAUACAUCGGAACGUGCCCUGUAGUGGGGGAUAACUAGUCGAAAGAUUAGCUAAUACCGCAUACGACCUGAGGGUGAAAGUGGGGGACCGCAAGGCCUCAUGCUAUAGGAGCGGCCGAUGUCUGAUUAGCUAGUUGGUGGGGUAAAGGCCUACCAAGGCGACGAUCAGUAGCUGGUCUGAGAGGACGAUCAGCCACACUGGGACUGAGACACGGCCCAGACUCCUACGGGAGGCAGCAGUGGGGAAUUUUGGACAAUGGGCGAAAGCCUGAUCCAGCAAUGCCGCGUGUGUGAAGAAGGCCUUCUGGUUGUAAAGCACUUUUGUCCGGAAAGAAAUGGCUCUGGUUAAUACCUGGGGUCGAUGACGGUACCGGAAGAAUAGGGACCGGCUAACUACGUGCCAGCCGCCGCGGUAA
rnacentral:rRNA from 1 species